AACGAACGCUGGCGGCAUGCCUAACACAUGCAAGUCGAACGAAGCCUUCGGGCUUAGUGGCGCACGGGUGCGUAACGCGUGGGAAUCUGCCCCUUGCUUCGGAAUAACAGUUAGAAAUGACUGCUAAUACCGGAUGAAGUCUUCGGACCAAAGAUUUAUCGGCUAGGGAUGAGCCCGCGUAGGAUUAGGUAGUUGGUGGGGUAAAGGCCUACCAAGCCGACGAUCCUUAGCUGGUCUGAGAGGAUGAUCAGCCACACUGGGACUGAGACACGGCCCAGACUCCUACGGGAGGCAGCAGUGGGGAAUAUUGGACAAUGGACGCAAGUCUGAUCCAGCAAUGCCGCGUGAGUGAUGAAGGCCUUAGGGUUGUAAAGCUCUUUUACCAGGGAUGAUAAUGACAGUACCUGGAGAAUAAGCUCCGGCUAACUCCGUG
rnacentral:rRNA from 1 species